AUACGGAGGGCGCGAACGUUGCUCGGAAUCAUUGGGCGUACAGCGCACGUAGGCGGCCUGAUAAGUCGGAUGUGAAAGCCCACGGCGCAACCGUGGAAGUGCAUUCGAAACUGUCAGGCUUGAGUAUGGGAGAGGGUUGCGGAAUUCCCGGUGUAGAGGUGAAAUUCGUAGAUAUCUGGAGGAACACCAGCGGCGAAGGCGGCAGCCUGGACCAAUACUGACGCUGAGGUGCGAAAGCGUGGGGAGCAAACAGGAUUAGAAACCCUAGUAGUCC
rnacentral:rRNA from 1 species